rnacentral:piRNA from 1 species
UNCAGGAUGUCGUAUUGAAUGAGCUACCUCA